AGAGGCAGAAGUUUUCCUGCUUACAGAGUGUAUUCAAAAAAAAGGGAAUGGAAUUGGAAUGCUAAGCAAUGCAUUAUUGGUGACACGCUGCCGGGUCCCUCAUCUCAGAGCUGGUGGAAAAUGCUGCAGAGGAAUGGGUAGAACCCUGAAGAAAACUCAGGACAGUUUCAUGGUAAGUCGGCAGGAGUUGUGUGUUUUAUUUCCUUGUUGGUAAUUAAAAUAUCUGGAUCAGUUACAUUACAGGAAGACUUGUUAUGUCGCUCACAGCACCAGAGGUUUGGACCUGCAGGCUGAGGAGGUUUGUUCUGCUGCUGUAUAUAUGCACGACCUGAAUGGGAUGCAAAGGGGAUCUGGGGGCAUUCAGCAUCAGCUGUGCAUCCAGGAGAUUGCUGACUUCUUCCCAAGGAGCUGAAAUCUCAUUCUUCUCUGUUUUAACGAAGCUUGCUGAUGCCCUUUUCUCUCAUUUGGUAAUCGGCUGAACUUCCUGGGAAAGGAACAGGAAAUGAGUGGAAGGAUCAGAGGCAGCAGAAAGGUGUGAGCUGGGCGACUUGCUGCUGAAAUAGGUGAAGGAGAAGGGUGAACCAGCCCUUCUGCAUUUCCCCUGCAGAAAGCAUUAAAGUGCAUACCUAAAAGAGGUUUCUAAAAGUUCAAGAGGUGAGGAGAAGCACUGGAAUGGAAAUCUCAUAGUGAUGGACCCUCACUGUGACAUUUUGAUGCUCUCUGGAGAGAAAUAUGGGCAUUUUGCUUCUCCCACCUUUGAGCUGAAGUAGUACACCAGCUGAAGUCCUUCACUCUUCUGUAUUUGAAAGGGUUUCAUUUUUGAUAAAGGUUCAGUGUUACAAAGAGAUACCAAAUCUUCAUGUGCCCUGUGCUUCAGCAAAGUACCGAUAACAGCAAUAAACCCCCUAACGUGAGAUGUUCUGGGGUUAUCUCUGAGGAAGGCUCCUCUUCAUUCGGCUGCCAAUUGCAAAUGAACCUAGUUAUAAAAUUUCUCUUUAUUGCCACCUUUCCAUAUCCCUGAGGUUAAUUCUGAAAUAUGCAUGAAAUGUAAUUAGUGCAGAUCCAUUUCUGCCAGCACGUUUUACACAAGUGGCUCCCGGUGGCAGAUCUGGAUGUAUUCAUAAUAAAAUGAUUCAGUU
rnacentral:lncRNA from 7 species